UGUCAAGUCGGAUGUGAAAUCCCCGGGCUCAACCUGGGAACUGCAUUCGAAACUGGCAGGCUUGAGUCUUGUAGAGGGGGGUAGAAUUCCAGGUGUAGCGGUGAAAUGCGUAGAGAUCUGGAGGAAUACCGGUGGCGAAGGCGGCCCCCUGGACAAAGACUGACGCUCAGGUGCGAAAGCGUGGGGAGCAAACAGGAUUAGAUACCCUGGUAGUCCACGCCGUAAACGAUGUCUACUUGGAGGUUGUGCCCUUGAGGCGUGGCUUCCGGAGCUAACGCGUUAAGUAGACCGCCUGGGGAGUACGGCCGCAAGGUUAAAACUCAAAUGAAUUGACGGGGGCCCGCACAAGCGGUGGAGCAUGUGGUUUAAUUCGAUGCAACGCGAAGAACC
rnacentral:rRNA from 5 species